UCUGGUUGCACAGAGUGAGCCCAUGUAACCUAAGGGCAGCAAAAUCCAAUCUUCACACAUCCAAGAUGAGUUCUAGCAGCGUCAGAAGGUGGCGAGGCAGUGCCGUGGGUCCCAGCCUGCUGACCUGCUUCUUUUGUGCUCAAUUAUCCCUCUGCCUGUUGGCAGCAAGUGCCUGACUGCGGGUUCAAAGACAUUCAACUCUGUUGAAAAGCUUUGAUCACACACCCACACUGGAUGGGAGCAAACUCUGCUUCAUACGCCCACGCUAGAUACAAGCAAACUCUGCUUCUCCACUUAGAAGAUGAAAGACCAACCCCACCUGUGAAGUGCCUGGCCAAAGGAGCAGGCCAGGGAGCUGAGAAGCACUUAGCAGCGAGUGUUGGGACAGCUGUGCUUCAGCAGGCAGGAGAGAGCCAGGGCUGCGGGCAGUACUGCGAGCAGGAGCAAGAAAAACUCAGAGCGGAGAGACAUGGCUCCAGGACAUGAGAUGAGCCAGAUGAAGGUGCAGAGAUAGGGAUGAUGAUGGAAGAUGCAUGGAAGCGCCCUCAGUGCUUGCUCCCACAAGGAGGUGUCUGAAGGCAGAUGCUGGCAUCGAGUAGCAAGCAAGCAGCUGGCGGUAACAGGCUCUAGCAAAGAUAAAACCUAGGCGUUGCAGAUGUGCUUCUGCUCCAUGAAUGCAAUACAGAAUAUGAAUGGAAACAGGGGGAGCCCCCUUGCACUGGAGAGAGAAGAAAAGGCCCUGAUUUCACUGCAGAUCAUUCAUGUGGCUUAAAGAAUUUUGCUGAGUGCCCAGGGUCCUGGUUUGAUUCUAUGAUGGGAGACAAGAAAGAAGCAAACUGAACAAACUUCAGGGAAGUCCUUCCUUCUCCGAUGCAUUGAAGCCUCAGGACAGGCCCCAGAGACACUUUCCCAGGGACUGGAUGAUUGACCUGCGCUCUGGGACUGCGCUGCCAGCUGACACCAAACUCUUCUGGAAAUGGCUAUUUAGUUAGAGAAAGAAGACAGGAAAAGAAGGACCAGAAGUCUGAUUCAGUACGACCGUUGUCGUGACAUGCUGCCAAAUCACUUUCCCUGGGCAUGAUGGAUGUCCUAGCUGCACGAGCAGCAAUUUGUAUCGGCUCUGGCAAGUGUCACAGAUGUUCUUCAAGGGAAUUGAGAGCUUUCUGGGGAAGGAUCAAUGUACUGUAGCAAUUGCUCAUAAGUGUAAUGCAGCGUGUUAGGCUUCCUCCCCUAGCCACGAUCUGACUGCUGCUUUUGAUUAUUUCUUGCUGUAAAGAGGAAGGUUUUUUGCAGAAAUAAAGCAUCGGCUUUGCUCCAGCACUAAUUGCCCAUUACAGUCAAUUGUGACCUCUUAUAGUCGCCUGCCAGGAACAUCAUGCCUCAAACGCUACCUCCUGCUGUUCAGGAAACAUAAAUGAGAGUUUUCAGAGCAGGCCUCAGCCACAGAGGAUUUAAGUGCAAUAUGUUAAUUAAAUAUCAGUGGAUAGCCCUGCUAAGGCUCUUUAAAAUACAAGUUCCAAAUCAUCAACUCUGCUGCUAAAAAUACAACUCAAGUUUCUAAAGUAAUAGACAUGCAAUUAGGUCUUAUUUGAAUAAGAGCUUGAAGAGACUAUUCAAGUUCCUGAAUUGUUUAUAAUGAGCAAUACAGCACAAUGGCAUGUAAUGGCCCUUUCUCAUAUUAAAUUAUUGUUCCAUAGGUUAUCGAUUACUGUUGAACUGAAGUGGUUUUAUCAAGUGUCUAAUCUGAACUGAAAUGCAUAAAAUUCCUAGCACGUAAGCCCAUUAACCAAUUCAAGAAAUGCCUUGCCGUUAGCUGGAGGUUGCUUACCUGCCUGUGUGGAUGUGGGCAUGCCUUCCAGCUGUCUGGCAGUGCUUGGUGUGAACCCAGUGAAAAAUGAAGGGUUUGCUGCAGAAAAUCUCAGCAGGACUGAGCAGAACUUCCCCAGAGGUUUCAGAUGUUUUUUAUAACACAAAAGGGUGUUUUCAGUUUUACCCUUUGGAAAAGUUUCUGGUCUUCAUUUUUCUGCAUCCAAAAUGACAUUUUUUUUUUUGUAAAAAGUUUCAGUUAGGAGGCAGGCACUUUUUAACCAAGAAAAAAAAAUAGCCUGUGGCUUUUACCCAAGGUCUGUGUGAAACCUGAUGCUAUGUGCAAUGCAGUUGCCUGGUAAUGGAACAGAGCAGUAGCAUAGCACGAUUCAUCAGCAACGUGCUUCAUGAAUGUUUAGAGUCUAAUUGAAGAUCAAAGGCAGGAAAAGAUGCCAGUUGACUUCAUUGGGAUUUGAAUCAGGCCUCGGACACUUAUUCUUAGCAGGUCCCUUUGGGGUAGGUAAACGUUACUUACCUCAUCUCUUAAAUAGGAUGCAUAGUGAAUGUGGGGUCUUUGCAGAACUUGGUUGCAAUUUGCAUCUCUGUGGUAUAAUGGAUGUGGAGUUUUUGCAUAGCUUGUUUGCAUCUGUGUCAUUAACCAUGACCCAGAACCAUUGCUUACUCAUCAGUCAUCUCCCUUGGGCUAGCAGAGUUAGCUAGAGUAGGAUGGACUCAUGCAUACCUCAUGAAUAGAGGUACUCUGCCAGACUGCUGGGGUAGGGGCAUGCUACCAAGUGGGCAGCAGACCUGUACUCUGUGAUAUUAUAAAUGGCCAGGGUAUGGGCAGGAAAACAUGUGUGAGCCUGGGAGGGCCUUCAUUUCAGUUUCCCCCUGCCUGGGCCCUAAUGAGGUAGAGGAGCAAAGGGCUUGGAUUCUAUUUCACCAAAUGUACCUUUGAGAAAUAAAGGAAGAGAGUGGUUUCAUGACCCCAUCACAAAGCCUCUUCAUUUCUAGAGUCCCUUAUUUCCCCAGGGAAACCCUGUGGCUCAGAGGAGACCCCUUGGUAGAUUCACAGAGGAAGGAGAACACCUCAGAACAAGUGGUGCACUUCUAGCACCUCCUAGCACUUGGAUCUGUGAGUGGAGAAGGCUGGGAGGCACUGGGGGAGUAAAGCUGAGAUGUUGAAUGCUCUGGGGAAGUAGGGGGAACUAGCAGGGUCUCAUCAGUGAAAUGGGGGGCAGAAGGGAACCAUUGCUAGAAUGGAUUCCUCAAGGCCCGGGGCUGCCCCACAAAGUAAGGUAGGGAAAGGCAGAAGGAAGACAGCUAGGUUUCCUCAUUCUUCACUCACUUCAUAUUGGAGCUGGGGUCCAGGCUAGCUGGUGCCACCAUCUCCACUUCGUCACCAUGUCACCUCACCUACGUGGCUGCACUGCACAAGCUGCCUUGUCCUUAUGGCUUCAGUGAACUGGACACACACUCCAGAUCAGGCAGAAACAAACUUCCUAUGGCCUAAAAACACUGAAUGGAUCCAGACCGUGCCAUGACAAGAAACAUAAAACCUGCCAAUGCAUCUCCACCACCCCCACAAUAACUACACCCCACAACAAAGCUAUCACCAUUCCUGGAUCUUACAGCUGCACCUUCAGAAAUGUAAUCUAUCUCCUCCAGUGCACUAAAUGCCCUGAUGGAAAAUCUGUGGGAGAAACCAAACAACAACUGUGCACCAGAAUGAAUGCACACCGGAAAUCUAUCAAAGACAAGAAUACUCAAUUACCUGUGUUGGCACAUUUCUCAGAAGAAAACCACUUUCUCUCUAAUUUCUCAGUUCUGAUCCUCAAAGUGAAUUUACAAAACACCUUUCACAGACGAGCCUAUGAACUUCACUCCAUCAAUCUACUGGAUACAAAAAAUCAUGGACUAAAUAUAGACAUUGGAUUUACGACACAUUAUAACCUGCUUAAGGAGGAACAUUUUGUGUUGGUCCGCACCUGUAGGGAGCGAACUAGGAAAGCCAAGGCUGCAACAGAACUCACACUGGCUACACGAAUCAAGGACAAUAAAAAGUCCUUCUUCAGAUAUGUGGGGAGUCGGAAGAAAAACAAGGGCAGCAUUGAACCGCUGCUAAACCAAUUGGGGCAGCUGACAACUGACACCCAGGAAAAGGCCGAUCUGCUUACUGAAUACUUUGUGUCAGUUUUUCACCAGCCCAAAGGGACCACCCUGCCUAACAUGAUGCGAGAUGACCAGGGUGAGGGUGAAUAUAUGCCCACCACUGGCAGAGAUCUUGUGAGGGAGCAUCUUGAAAGGCUGGACACCCACAAAUCAGCUGGUCUGGAUAGAUUGCACCCAAGAGUGCUAAAGGAACUGGCAGACAUCAUAGCAUGACCACUGGCAAGGAUAUUCGAGAACUUGUGGCGCUCAGGCAAAGUACCUGAAGAUUGGAAGAGGGCCAAUGUGAUGCCUAUCUUCAAGAAAGUGGGGAAAGAAGAUCCAGGAAAUUACAGGCCAGUCAGUUUGACUUGAAUCCCUGGAAAGUUCUUGGAAAAAAUUAUCAAAGAAACUGUUCUCGACAGGCACACAGAAGGUAACAUUCUGAGGGAUAGCCAGGGUUUGUUGCGGGUAGAUCUUGCCUGACCAAUCUCAUUUCCUUCUAUGACCAGAUGACGUAUCAGCUGGACAAAAGGGAAGAGGUUGAUGUCAUAUAUUUGGACUUUAAAAAAGCCUUUGACCUGGUGUCUCAUGAUGUCCUCAUGGAAAAAUUAGGUAACUGUGGCCUUGACUACACUAUGGUCUGAUGGCUGGGGAACUGGCUCUAAGGUCGGACCCAGAGAAUGGUAGUUGAUGGAACCGAAUCAACAUGGCACUCGGUGACCAGUGAUGUCCCCCACAGCUCUGUUCUUGGACCUGUACUCUUUAAUGUCUUUAUAAAUGAUCUGGACACUGGUGUCAGAUGUGGACUGGCCAAGUUUGCUGAUGACACCAAACUCUGGGGAAGAGUCUCCACACUUGAGGAUAGGCUGGUGAUCCAGGCCAACCUCAAUAGAUUUGUAAGGUAGGCAGUUGAAAACCUGAUGGCAUUCAAGACAGAGAAAUGCAAGGUGUUCCACCUCGGGGAAAAAAACCCACAUCACACUUCUAGACUUGGCAUGCUACACUCAUUAGCACCAUGACUGAAAGAGACUUGGGGGUCAUGACUGACCACAAGAUGAACAAGCAUCGAUGCGAUACUGCAGCCUGCAAAGAGAACAAAACUCUGACUUGCACCUACUGAUGCAUCUUGAGCAAGACCCAGGAUGUCCUCCUCCCACUGUACUUGGCCUCAGGGAGGCCGCAGCUGGAGUACUGCAUCCAGUUCUGGGCUCCAUAAUUUAGGAAGGAUGUGGAGAAGCUUGAAAGAGUCCACACACAUGAUCAGAGGGCAAAAAAAAAGGCCUUAUGAAGAGAGGCUGCAAGCCAUGGGACUCCAGCCUGGAGAAGCGCAGGCUCAGAGGUGACUUCGUGGCAGUUUAUAAGUACAUAGGGGUGUGCAUCAGGAUCUGGGGGAACACCUGUUCACCAGGGGAUGACGAGGUUCAAUGGUCACAAACACCUGCAAGACCGUUUUAGGCUGGACAUAAAGAAAAACUUCUUUACUGUCCGAGCCC